UACGUAGGUCCCGAGCGUUGUCCGGAUUUAUUGGGCGUAAAGCGAGCGCAGGUGGUUUAAUAAGUCUGAUGUAAAAGGCAGUGGCUCAACCAUUGUGUGCAUUGGAAACUGUUAGACUUGAGUGCAGUAGAGGAGAGUGGAAUUCCAUGUGUAGCGGUGAAAUGCGUAGAUAUAUGGAGGAACACCGGUGGCGAAAGCGGCUCUCUGGACUGUAACUGACACUGAGGCUCGAAAGCGUGGGUAGCAAACCGG
rnacentral:rRNA from 1 species